rnacentral:rRNA from 1 species
GACGAACGCUGGCGGUGUGCUUAACACAUGCAAGUCGAGCGGAAAGGCCUCUUCGGGGGUACUCGAGCGGCGAACGGGUGAGUAACACGUGAGUAAUCUGCCCUUCACUCUGGGAUAGCCACCGGAAACGGUGAUUAAUACCGGAUACGACACGUCCAGGCAUCUGGUGCGUGUGGAAACUUUUUGGGUGGGGGAUGUGCUCGCGGCCUAUCAGCUUGUUGGUGGGGUAAUGGCCUACCAAGGCUUCGACGGGUAGCCGGCCUGGGAGGGUGACCGGCCACACUGGGACUGGGACACGGCCCAGACUCCUACGGGAGGCAGCAGUGGGGAAUAUUGGACAAUGGGCGGAAGCCUGAUCCAGCAACGCCGUGUGAGGGAUGACGGCCUUCGGGUUGUAAACCUCUUUCAGCACCGACGAAGCGAUCCUUUGGGGAGUGACGGUAGGUGCAGAAGAAGGACCGGCCAACUACGUGCCAGCAGCCGCCGCGGUAA